GUCGAAAGCGACCGGACCGGGUCCUGACCAGCCCCCCCAGCCCUCCCGGUCAAACAAGCGGUCGUCUUCGGCUUGCAAAGGACCCGCGCGGCUCGUCCCCUCCAGCCGCGCGGGUUUU
rnacentral:sRNA from 1 species